UGGGGAAUAUUGGACAAUGGGCGCAAGCCUGAUCCAGCCAUGCCGCGUGAGUGAUGUAGGCCCUAGGGUUGUAAAGCCCUUUCAGUGGGGACGAUAAUGACGGUACCCACAGAAGAAGCCCCGGCUAACUUCGUGCCAGCAGCCGCGGUAAUACGAAGGGGGCUAGCGUUGUUCGGAAUUACUGGGCGUAAAGCGCACGUAGGCGGACAUUUAAGUCAGGGGUGAAAUCCCGGGGCUCAACCCCGGAACUGCCUUUGAUACUGGGUGUCUUGAGUCCGGAAGAGGUGAGUGGAAUUGCGAGUGUAGAGGUGAAAUUCGUAGAUAUUCGCAGGAACACCAGUGGCGAAGGCGGCCCACUGGUCCGGUACUGACGCUGAGGUGCGAAAGCGUGGGGAGCAAAC
rnacentral:rRNA from 1 species